ACGAACGCUGGCGGCGUGCUUAACACAUGCAAGUCGAACGGUGAAGCGCCUUCCUUUUUGGUGGGUGUGGAUGAGUGGCGCACGGGUGAGUAACACGUGAGUAACCUGCCCCCUUCUUCUGGAUAACCGCAUGAAAGUGUGGCUAAUACGGGAUAUUCUGGGUCUGUCGCAUGAUGGGUCUGGGAAAGAUAUUGUUUCGGUGGGGGAUGGGCUCGCGGCCUAUCAGCUUGUUGGUGGGGUGAUGGCCUACCAAGGCGGUGACGGGUAGCCGGCCUGAGAGGGUGGACGGUCACACUGGGACUGAGACACGGCCCAGACUCCUACGGGAGGCAGCAGUGGGGAAUAUUGCACAAUGGGCGCAAGCCUGAUGCAGCGACGCCGCGUGAGGGAUGGAGGCCUUCGGGUUGUGAACCUCUUUCGCCAGUGAAGCAGGCCUGCCUCGUUUGUGGGUGGGUUGACGGUAGCUGGAGAAGAAGCGCCGGCUAACUACGUG
rnacentral:rRNA from 1 species